rnacentral:tRNA from 1 species
AGUACGGUCAGCUAAAAAAGCUUUUGGGCCCAUACCCCAAAUAUGUUGGUUAGAACCCAUCCCUUACUA